GCCUGGAGGAGCUGGUGUGGCUAGAACACAUGGGCUGCACUGCAAAUCCCAGCUUGUGGAGACAGAGAUGCCAGAGCUGGCCUUGGGAUGAACCUGCUGGAUGUCCAGGUACUGGGUGAGGCCACCUGCUCCAGGAUCUGAGUGAGGGAGAGAUGUGCUCACACCAAAAUGCCACUUUUGGGGCAUGGAGUGCAAAACUUGGUUGGACUGUGUGGACACUAAACCCUCUCAGACACUUCUCCUCCAGGACACUGUAGAAAGAGAAUCUGUCAGGCGCAAGAAAUUCCUUCCUGGCCCAGAGAAGCUGUGGCUGCCCCUGGAUCCCUGGCAGUGUCCAAGGUCAGGCUGGACAGGCUUGGAGCACCCUGGGAUCGUGGAAGGUAUCCCUGAUCAUGGCAGCGGGUGGCAUGGGAUGGGCUUUAAGGUCCCUUUAAACCCAAAUUAUUCUGUGAUUUCACAAUCCUGAACAGCAUCUUCACCUCAACUUCCCACAAAGAAAUUUGCCAUCUUCCCUCAAAAAUGGAAACAGGAAGAAGAAAUCAACUGUUGUCUUUGUUGCUGAAACCCGUGGGAGGCAGGACCCUGAUGGCGAUUUAUCAUCUCACUCCUGGCUCAGGUGAGCAUGGGGCAGGUACAGCUUGUCACCCACAGCAGCAGGGUCUCUGCUUCAGUCAUUCUCCACUCUGGUUCUAAGGCUGUUCUGAUGUAUUUAUCUUUAGUUUGUUGCUCUAAUCUUGUCGACAGGAAACAAUAAAAUAUCCUCUAAGAUUAAUAUGUGAGAUGAGAGAUCCAAUUAGAGCUCACAUCCUUCAAUCCUUACGGGUAAGAGCCCCUAUUACACAAUAACUAUGGGUGGGAGGAGGCCCUGUUUGAUCAAUUUGUUCCAGUUCUUGGUUAUGAAUAGUUCAGGGAAUGAAACAGUGACAGACGAAGGCAUAAUUCCCAGAUCAGAGAAGAAUUAGAGAUCUGUAGGGUAGAAUACAGGUAUUUCUCGACAUAGCACCAAACCAGAGAUGAACAGCACAAUGUAGAUUUGACACUUUUAUUAACAAAGAACCCAUGGGGCUCAUUCAUUAGUACAAAAUACAAUCAUGUUCCUGUAUGUUAAACAGCUUUUUUUAUUUUGUCUCUUUUAAACUGUUUCACAGUUAUCAAAACAAAGCCCCUGCAUAUUGAACUUAUUAUUGUGCAAACAGUAAUUAUUUUUAAGGAUCAAUUUCUGCACUAAGCCAAGUGCCAGAGAGCAGAACUUAAUCAUGUUUUCACCCCUCCUUUGAAGGGCCAUGUGUGCUUCCUAAGAAACACGUAAUAGUUGACUUUUUUUGCAGCAAACAAUCUAAGGCCACAGUUUAUCUGCAAAGAAUAGAAAACAACUCAAAGACUUUAG